CCUAGUAACGGCGAGUGAAGCGGCAACAGCUCAAAUUUGAAAUCUGGCUCUUUUAGAGUCCGAGUUGUAAUUUGCAGAGGGCGCUUUGGCUUUGGCAGCGGUCCAAGUUCCUUGGAACAGGACGUCACAGAGGGUGAGAAUCCCGUACGUGGUCGCUGGCUAUUGCCGUGUAAAGCCCCUUCGACGAGUCGAGUUGUUUGGGAAUGCAGCUCUAAAUGGGAGGUACAUUUCUUCUAAAGCUAAAUAUUGGCCAGAGACCGAUAGCGCACAAGUAGAGUGAUCGAAAGAUGAAAAGCACUUUGGAAAGAGAGUCAAACAGCACGUGAAAUUGUUGAAAGGGAAGCGCUUGCAGCCAGACUUGCUUACAGUUGCUCAUCCGGGUUUCUACCCGGUGCACUCUUCUGUAGGCAGGCCAGCAUCAGUUUGGGCGGUAGGAUAAAGGUCUCUGUCACGUACCUCCUUUCGGGGAGGCCUUAUAGGGGAGACGACAUACUACCAGCCUGGACUGAGGUCCGCGCAUCUGCUAGGAUGCUGGCGUAAUGGCUGUAAGCGGCCCGUCUUGAAACACGGACCAAGGAGUCUAACAUCUAUGCGAGUGUUUGGGUGUCAAGCCCGAGCGCGUAAUGAAAGUGAACGGAGGUGGGAACCCGCAAGGGUGCACCAUCGACCGAUCCUGAUGUCUUCGGAAGGAUUUGAGUAAGAGCAUGGCUGUUGGGACCCGAAAGAUGGUGAACUAUGCUUGAAUAGGGUGAAGCCAGAGGAAACUCUGGUGGAGGCUCGCAGCGGUUCUGACGUGCAAAUCGAUCGUCAAA
rnacentral:rRNA from 1 species